AACGAACGCUGGCGGCAGGCUUAACACAUGCAAGUCGAACGCACCGCAAGGUGAGUGGCAGACGGGUGAGUAACACGUGGGGAUCUGCCCAAUGGUACGGAAUAGCUCCGGGAAACUGGAAUUAAUACCGUAUGAGCCCGCAAGGGGAAAGAUUUAUCGCCAUUGGAUGAACCCGCUUCGGAUUAGCUAGUUGGUGCAGUAAAGGCGCACCAAGGCGACGAUCCGUAGCUGGUCUGAGAGGAUGAUCAGCCACACUGGGACUGAGACACGGCCCAGACUCCUACGGGAGGCAGCAGUGGGGAAUAUUGGACAAUGGGCGCAAGCCUGAUCCAGCCAUGCCGCGUGAGUGAUGAAGGCCUUAGGGUUGUAAAGCUCUUUCGCCGACGAAGAUAAUGACGGUAGUCGGAGAAGAAGCCCCGGCUAACUUCGUGCCAGCCGCCGCAGUAAAAC
rnacentral:rRNA from 1 species